rnacentral:misc_RNA from 1 species
AACCUAGCACACCUGCGGUGUGUACCUGCGGAAGGAUCAUUAUAGUAUAUGGAAUCUCCAUUCUAUAAACCCACUCUGCGUAUCUUGUAACUGUUGCUUCCAUGGGACUUGGUUCCGCCACACCGGCUUCACGGCUGGUGAGCGCCCAUGGAAGGAGAAACAAAACUCUUCUUUGAAAUGUAGUCAGUCUGAACAAGUUUUUAUAAACGUUAAAACUUUUAACAAUGGAUCUCAGAUCGG